GAUGAACGCUGGCGGCGUGCCUAAUACAUGCAAGUCGAGCGGACGGACGAGAAGCUUGCUUCUCUGAUGUUAGCGGCGGACGGGUGAGUAACACGUGGAUAACCUACCUAUCAGACUGGGAUAACUUCGGGAAACCGGCGCUAAUACCGGAUAAUAUUUUGCACCGCAUGGUUCGAAAGUGAAAGACGGUCUUGCUGUAUCUACUAGCUGGAUCCGCGCUGCAUUAGCUAGUUGGUAAGGUAACGGCUUACCAAGGCAACGAUGCAUAGCCGACCUGAGAGGGUGAUCGGCCACACUGGAGCUUGGACACGGACCAGACGCCUACGAGAGGCAGCAGUAGGGAAUCUGCCGCAAUGGGCGGAAGCCUGACGGAGCGACGCCGCGUGAGUGAUAGAGGUCUUGGGUGCGUAAAGCUCUGUUAUGAGGUAAGAACAGAUGUGUAAGUAGCUGAACACAGCGUGACGGUACCUGAUCAGAAAGCCACGGCUAACUACGUG
rnacentral:rRNA from 1 species